UACGAAGGGUGCAAGCGUUACUCGGAAUUACUGGGCGUAAAGCGUGCGUAGGCGGUUUGUUAAGUCCGUUGUGAAAGCCCUGGGCUCAACCUGGAAUUGCAGUGGAUACUGGCGAGCUAAGAGUGCGGUAGAGGAUGGUGGAAUUCCGGUGUAGCGUGAAAUGCGUAGAGAUCGGGAGGAACACCCGUGGCGAAGGCGGCCAUCUGGACCAGCACUGACCGCUGAGGCACGAAAGCGUGGGGAGCAAACAGG
rnacentral:rRNA from 1 species